AAGCAUAUGUAUAAUCAAACUACCUUAAUAACAAGCCAAAGUCUUUGGCUUAAUCAUAAUAUUACAUACUCAACUUUACAACCCUAUACAUGCCAUAGACUCGAAACACUAAGAUUUACUUACGCCGAUAGCGUAGACUCGACAAUGUGAUAAUAUCUCUGACGGUCUCCAACCCGAGCUAACCUGGCAACCCUAGGGAAUAUGGGAAAGAAAAGGGGAGUAAGCUUUACGCUUAGCAAGUUCAUAAGAAAACAAUAAGCAACUCAUUAACAAGUUUUAUCAAUGUUUACAACAUAAUCACAAAUUCACUACAAGUUAUCUUCCUGAGCAAUAGUCACUAAAUUAUUUAUAACUGAAGCUACGGAACUCCAAAUCAAUUUUCGUUAAUUUUAUUUGAAAAUAGACUCAUAUAUCUUCCAUCCAAAAAAUUUUCAGAAUUUUUGGUUUGGCCAAUCAAUACCAGAUUUUUCUUAAAGUUUCCCCUAUUUCACUAUUUAACUAUCUGACCACUCUUCACUACAAAUCAAAUUUCUCAUUGUACAGAAUUCAAAAUAUGUUCUCGUUGAUUUAUUUUGAAACUAGACUCAUUAAGGAGUCUAAGCAUAUACAUUUUAUAUUAUAACCAUUUUUUUACAAAUUAUAAUGAUUUUCUAAAUACAGAAUAGGGGACCCCGAAGUCAUUUGACUCUAUCCCACGCCACUUCAAAUAUCUCAUUAUCAGAAAUUUUUUUGCUUACACGGUUUAUUUUAUAAGAAACUAGACUCAUUAAGCUUUAAUUACAUAAUUUAUUCAGCUUCUAAAUCAACUCUCACAAUUUAUGGUGAUUUUCCAAAAUCACGUUACUGUCUCUAUCCCAAGCAGAUUUAUUACAAAUUUACUCUUUCACACCUUCUUUACAUUCACAUUAUUUAAACAUGUAUAUCACCAAUCAAUUUCAUCACAUAUCUAUAAUUUCACUUAAGCAUAAUCUCAAUACAAUACAUCAUGCUCAAUGAUUCGCACACAACCGUUCAAAUUAGCAAUUAUAAGAUGGUUCCGCACAUAGCCCACCCUUAUCAAUAAUUUACAAUGGUUUUACCCUUACUCACAUAUAUGACAUAGGCAUUUUCACCUAUGCUUCUCAUUUCACAUUCACGAUUCAAUUCCAAUCAAUCUAACAUGCAUAAGUAUAUAUCACAUACCUGGCCAACUUAAUGUAUUGAACGAAUUCAAUUGCCGAUUUAACACAAGGUCUCAUAGUCUUAGACUUUUAUCAAAUCACCGGCAUUUAGCCUACUAGGUUUUAAACCCGAAUUCAUCACCGGCACGAAAUCUGCUAGACUUUAAGUCUAAACUCAUUCACCGGAAUUUCACCUGCUAGGCCCGAAACUUUAUAUUAUCUCACCGGCAUUAUAGCCUGCUAGGCCCGAAGCCCGAUAAUAUUAUUCACCAGCUUAAAGCUUGCUAGGCCGAGGCCCGAAUAUCACAUUUCGAUAAACAAUUCACAUGUUCUUUCAUACUUUCAUAACUUAUACUUCAAUUACGUAUAACUGAAAUAUAUAUCUAUGAACAAAGAUUUUCAUCCUUUCAACCACAUAGGAUUUAAUUUCCACAUUGGAACACAUAUCUUAGUACAUCAUUUAAUAGUAUCAAAGUCGACUAGAUAUGCUAGUCACAUACGACUCAUAACUUUAAUUUAAUAUUCAUUCAACACAAAGAACAUAUGUGUAUAUAUAUAUACAAUCAAACAUAUUCUUAAUUAUGAUUAUUCAACUCUUAAGCAUAUAACAUGAUCAAACACAAACACUUAAGAACUUACCUUGGAUUUUAUCGAAUAACUAGGGAUUGACUAAUCGACUAGUUUCGCUUUCCCUUUAUCCAAAAUUAGCUCCUUUUGCUCUUGAGCUUGGAUUAAACAAAUUUAGCUUAUUGUUAAUCAACUAACCAAGCAUUGUAUUAUGAGUAUAUUCGGCUUUCACACAUAUUAAACAUAAUAAUAAUCAUGCACAUUAUAAUCAAAGUGCAAUUAAUCCCAUACACAAAAAAUAUACGACACUUCAUUUCCAUCUACUUAUAUACACGUAUCACAUAAGACCAUUUCAUACUUUCUAUCAACUAAAUAAACAACAAAUUUUCCAAUUAAUUUCUUAAGUCCACAUUCGGCAUCUACAUCCACAAUAACACAUUAGCCGAUUACUAUAAAUCUAUCUAACCACAACUAUCCUUAUUCAUCAAGCUCAACUCAUCUAUCAUCACAUUUAAUACCAAAAACAUCAAAACACCUUCAAAGACACUCAAACAACCCAUAUAUUUCACAAUUUCACAUUUUAACCACUAAAUUUCCACUUUUCACAAUUUAAUCCAAAAUUGACAUUUUUACCAAAAUUCACUUAACAAAACUUAUUAAUCUAACAUCAAAGAUAUAUUUUCUAUCAUUAAACAUCAAGAUACUCAAACAUUCAAUAAUGGCAUCAUCCAAAUACUUUAACAAUUUUAAAAUUAGAGGUACGGGCUAGCUAGAUUAUGAAGCAACGAUCUCAAAAACGUAAAAAUCACUAAAAACCGAGUCAAAAUGGACUUACCAAUUUAACAUGCAAUGGCCGAAUACUUUGAAGCUUCAAUGGCUU
rnacentral:lncRNA from 1 species